rnacentral:rRNA from 1 species
GGAUUGCAGGCUGCAACUCGCCUGCAUGAAGUCGGAAUUGCUAGUAAUCNCGGAUCAGCAUGCCGCGGUGAAUACGUUCCCGGGCCUUGUACACACCGCCCGUCACACCAUGGGAGUCGGAAAUGCCCGAAGUCAGUGACCCAACCGAGAGGAGGGAGCUGCCGAAGGUGGGUUCGAUAAUUGGGGUGAAGUCGUAACAAGGUAGC